rnacentral:rRNA from 1 species
AUGACAGGUCGUGCUACUGCAGGUGAUUGUGACGGUCCUACUGCCCCGUUGGAGGCUGCAUCCCUUGCACAAGCUUCUGAUGAUUUUGUGCCCAGGGAUCCUCCAAGGUCUACUACAAAGGGUAGGGCAAAGAGUCGACGGUACAAAUCGGCACUGGAGCUACACCCAAAGAAGAAAAACAAAUGCAGCCAGUGCCAUCUACAGAGCACACUGCUGGUGUGUGUCCACAGAGGCUCCUGUGAUUCUGUUUCCUCAUUUGUAACUUUGGAACAAAAAAGGAAAAUAAUGAUGUCUUUUUUAGCAAUGUUGGGACCAAGUGGACACAUUCAGCAUCUAUGA